rnacentral:rRNA from 1 species
GAUGAACGCUAGCGACAGGCCUAACACAUGCAAGUCGAGGGGCAGCAUAAAGGUAGCAAUACUUUGGUGGCGACCGGCGCACGGGUGAGUAACACGUAUGCAACCUACCUGUAAGAGGGGAAUAACCCGGAGAAAUUCGGACUAACACCGCAUAAUACCUCGAAGCUGCAUGGCUUUGAGGUUAAAUAUUUAUAGCUUACAGAUGGGCAUGCGUAACAUUAGAUAGUUGGUGAGGUAACGGCUCACCAAGUCAACGAUGUUUAGGGGUUCUGAGAGGAAGGUCCCCCACACUGGUACUGAGACACGGACCAGACUCCUACGGGAGGCAGCAGUGAGGAAUAUUGGUCAAUGGGCGAGAGCCUGAACCAGCCAAAUCGCGUGAAGGAUGAAGGUAUUCUGUAUUGUAAACUUCUUUUAUACGGGAAUAAAGUGCAUCACGUGUGAUGUUUUGUAUGUACCGUACGAAUAAGCACCGGCUAACUCCGUGCCAGCAGCCGCUGUAACAC